rnacentral:lncRNA from 1 species
AGUGGAGCGAUAGCCGACAGGAGCUGCCGCCGAUCCGGACCUGUCCUCGCCGCCAUCUCGUCUCCGCGCGACGCCCUCGCCUCGCGCAGGCAGGCAUGCCGGAAGGUUAGUAGCCAGAGCCAUGGGGGCCUCCUCGCUGUCUCCUUCCUGCAUCGUGAUGGGGAGGGCGCCGGAUCUGAGCUGAAGCAGGACGCCCCUCCUCUCAACGCCGAUGACGACCAAUGGCAUCGCGACUCUGGCAACCGGCGCUACAGGACACUAAGCAGGGAAGAUGAAGUUGCCCCGCCGCCGCCGUCCAUUCGGGGCUCUGCGCCCUUAGGGGAGGACCUCCUCCUUGUGAAGGCCGUGGUGGGUGGUGGAGUCUCACCGAGGCCAGCCUACGCGCUGCAGCUUCCUCAAUCCUUCCCGGAUGUUCGGCAACUUCAGAAGAUUUUUCUUGCUUACAACACCUUCAUCCAUUCAUCCAUGGUUUUGGUGAUAUCAAGAAAUCAGUCUCAUUUUAUUGAAAACGAUUGAAGCCUCAUCUGAACCAGAACAUGCCAAAAUGUGAGAUCACUUUACAUUUUGUUAUCAUAGUGGAGCACUCAAGCUGUCUUUGGGAUGAUUUAAGCUGAGUAUGUUGGAAGUCUGCAGUCUAUGGGUGUUUGUAAGCUGUGAUGUGAUGGGAAACUAUUUGUUGUAAGCUGCCUUUUGUUGUAUAUGUGUGAAUAGUGUUGUGAGCAAAAUUUAUGUAAAUUGAUUUUGUAAGUGAAUA